rnacentral:lncRNA from 1 species
AGAAUUGAAAACAAUAUGUUAUAAUUGUCGUGGGAUUAAUAGCUUUGUCACGUAAAUGUCAAUAAUUCAGAUUUUGUGGUUGAGAAUGCCGUAGCUUUUUCAUUUUCAUCAUCCAUGACGCACACUUUCCUCUUUUUCCCAACACAUAAUCUUCUCCAUUUCAUUUCCACCCUAUCAUCGGUUAUAAUUUAGCUUCAUACAACAAAAAUUAUAUGCUUGCAAAGAAAU